GUGCCAGCCGCCGCGGUAAAACGUAGGAGGCGAACGUUAUCCGGAUUUACUGGGCGUAAAGAGCGCGAAGGCGGUCUUGCAAGUCGGGCGUGAAAUCUCCCGGCUCAACUGGGAGGGGUCGUUCGAUACUGCAGGACUCGAGGACGGGAGAGGGGAGUGGAAUUCCCGGUGUAGCGGUGGAAUGCGCAGAGAUCGGGAGGAACACCAGUGGCGAAGGCGGCUCCCUGGCCCGGUCCUGACGCUCAAGCGCGAAAGCGUGGGGAGCGAACGGGAUUAGAUACCCCGGUAGUCCACGCCGUAAACGAUGGGUGCUAGGUGUUGGUGGUGUCGAUCCCAUCAGUGCCGAAGCUAACGCGUUAAGCAUCCCGCCUGGGGAGUACGGCCGCAAGGUUAAAACUUAAGUGAAUUGACGGGG
rnacentral:rRNA from 1 species